rnacentral:rRNA from 1 species
UGCGAGUCAUUGUAGCAAUACAAGGCAGACGGCUCAGUAACGCGUAGUCAAUCUACCCUAUGGACGGGAAUAACCUCGGGAAACUGAGAAUAAUGCCCGACAGAACAUUAUACCUGGAACGGUUUAUGUUUCAAAUGAUUUAUCGCCGUAGGAUGGGACUGCGGCCUAUCAGUUUGUUGGUGAGGUAAUGGCCCACCAAGACUAUUACAGGUACGGGCUCUGAGAGGAGUAGCCCGGAGAUGGGUACUGAGACACGGACCCAGGCCCUAUGGGGCGCAGCAGGCGAGAAAACUUUGCAAUGUGCGAAAGCACGACAAGGUUAAUCCGAGUGGUUUCUGCUAAAGAAACCUUUUGCUAGUCCUAGAAACACUAGUGAAUAAGGGGUGGGCAAGUUCUGGUGUCAGCCGCCGCGGUAAAACCAGCACCUCAAGUGGUCAGGAUGAUUAUUGGGCCUAAAGCAUCCGUAGCUCGUUUUGUAAGUUUUCGGUUAAAUCCAUACGCUUAACGUAUGGGCUGCCGGGAAUACUGCAUAACUAGGAAGUGGGAGAGGUAGACGGUACUCGGUAGGAAGGGGUAAAAUCCUUUGAUCUAUUGAUGACCACCUGUGGCGAAGGCGGUCUACCAGAACACGUUCGACGGUGAGGGAUGAAAGCUGGGGGAGCAAACCGGAUUAGAUACCCGGGUAGUCCCAGCUGUAAACUAUGCAAACUCAGUGAUGCAUUGGCUUGUGGCCAAUGCAGUGCUGCAGGGAAGCCGUUAAGUUUGCCGCCUGGGAAGUACGUAUGCAAGUAUGAAACUUAAAGGAAUUGGCGGGGGAGCACCACAAGGGGUGAAGCCUGCGGU